GCCACUUAUCUCUGUGGGAAAGUGACGAACUCUCACUAGGGAGAUCUGGGUUCGAAUCCCAGGUGAGACA